rnacentral:tRNA from 1 species
UUGGGCCGUCGCCAAGUGGUAAGGCAGCGGGUUUUGGUCCCGCCAUUCCUAGGUUCGAAUCCUAGCGGCCCAGU